GAUGAACGCUGGCGGCGUGCCUAAUACAUGCCAGUCGAGCGAACAGACGAGGAGCUUGCUCCUCUGACGUUAGCGGCGGACGGGUGAGUAACACGUGGAUAACCUACAUAUAAGACUGGGAUAACUUCGGGAAACCGGAGCUAAUACCGGAUAAUAUAUUGAACCGCAUGGUUCAAUAGUGAAAGACGGUUUUGCUGUCACUUAUAGAUGGAUCCGCGCCGCAUUAGCUAGUUGGUAAGGUAACGGCUUACCAAGGCAACGAUGCGUAGCCGACCUGAGAGGGUGAUCGGCCACACUGGAACUGAGACACGGUCCAGACUCCUACGGGAGGCAGCAGUAGGGAAUCUUCCGCAAUGGGCGAAAGCCUGACGGAGCAACGCCGCGUGAGUGAUGAAGGUCUUCGGAUCGUAAAACUCUGUUAUUAGGGAAGAACAAAUGUGUAAGUAACUAUGCACGUCUUGACGGUACCUAAUCAGAAAGCCACGGCUAACUACGUG
rnacentral:rRNA from 1 species